UUGACCUCGGAUCAGGUAGGGAUACCCGCUGAACUUAAGCAUAUCAAUAAGCGGAGGAAAAGAAACCAACAGGGAUUGCCUCAGUAACGGCGAGUGAAGCGGCAAGAGCUCAAAUUUGAAAGCUGGCCCCUUCGGGGUCCGCGUUGUAAUUUGCAGAGGAUGCCUC
rnacentral:rRNA from 1 species